GAUGAACGCUAGCGGCAGGCUUAAUACAUGCAAGUCGAGGGGCAGCACAGGUAGCAAUACUGGGUGGCGACCGGCAAACGGGUGCGGAACACGUACACAACUUACCUUAAGGUGGGGGAUAGCCCAGGGAAACUUGGAUUAAUACCCCAUAAUACAGGGGGCCCGCAUGGGUCUAUUGUUAAAGAUUUAUUGCCUUAAGAUGGGGGUGCGUCUGAUUAGGUAGUUGGUGAGGUAAAGGCUCACCAAGCCAACGAUCAGUAACUGGUGUGAGCGCACGACCAGUCACACGGGCACUGAGACACGGGCCCGACUCCUACGGGAGGCAGCAGUAAGGAAUAUUGGUCAAUGGACGGAAGUCUGAACCAGCCAUGCCGAGUGAAGGAUGAAGGUCCUCUGGAUUGUAAACUUCUUUUAUAGGGGGCGAAAAAGGGCCUUUUGAGGUCAACUGACGGUACCCUAUGAAUAAGCACCGGCUAACUCCGUGCCAGCCGCCGCCGUAAAAC
rnacentral:rRNA from 1 species